UAUUACAAGAGAAAGAAGGCAGAAUUGAAAUGAGGCGGGAGAGUACAUGUAAAAGCUAAAAGAGGUGAAUAGAAGGGAAAAAAAAAAGCAUGCACACGAGGGAGAGAAGAGAAAGAGAGGGAGAGAGGGAGAGAACCUGUAACCUUACCGUCGUGAAAGGGACUCAGGUAAAGAAUGUGACAAAAAAGGGAGUAUGGGGGACAGAAAGAAAAAAAAAUCUCAAAUUUCUACUAAGCGCCUGAGAUGGCUCCGGCUUCCUCUCGCACAGUCAGGACCCAUGAAAUGAAAACCCCAAGCAGACCUGCUCUCCCAGACUGCAGCCUCUAUUUAGUUAAUCAUCAGCAUUAUAAACCAGUGCUGCAGGCCUUCUGAGAAAGAAAAAAGAGGGCGAGAGGGAGAAAGAGUGAGAAACUGAAUGAGAAUAAGCAUUAGAGACAGCAGAGUGACGUAAACAACAUGACAUCUUUACACGGAUCUUUACACUUAACCUUUAGUAACUUGUCUUCAUCUAUUUCGAGCAGAUGGUUGAGUCGCAGUCAGGUGCAGCUUGGACUUUUUCCCACUGCCUACACGAAUCAGGUAUCUCCUGACUGGAAUGUGACUCCACAGUGAAACAAACAAGCUGAAGAGUAAACCAGGCUGAACCUUAAUCAAUUAUUUGUGUCUGUGUGUAGAAGGGAAACCCUAAUGUUUAGUUAACAGUGCCAGCUCGAUUUGUGGUACAAGUUUUAAUGACUGUCUUAUUCUUCUAGGUUUCCCCCAUUUUAUUCAAGUGUUGCCAUAUAUUUAGCAAUUGUUUAAUUAAACUGUUUAAUUAAACUUUAACUUUAGUCACUUACACUCAAUGCCGGAUAGGACACACAAGGCUCACACACCAUUUUUUAGUAUCUGGAGGAAAUUCACCAAAGUGCCCAUCCUGUCAGAACCCAUUAUCCAUUAAACAUGUCUUACUGGACUGUAAUGCUUCUACACACUUGAGGAACCUGUAUUACUCUGUUGACAAUUUUGAAAAGGUUUUUAACCAAGUAAAUCCAAACUUAGUUUCAAGGUUUUUAGGAAAAAUUAAUCUUAAACACCUAGUCUAGUUUUAAUCUUGAAUAUCUACACUAGCUCUUGCCAUGAAUAUAGCCAUAGAAGCUGGCAUGGUUUUAAAAAGGAAGAAAUCAAAUCAAACAUUUAACUUUCUCUUGCUGUGACAGUCUUGCUUUCUCUGGAGAGUUUUCAAUAUCUCCUAACCGUUUACAUUUUUAAGGGCAUCCUCAAUCACGUCACUUUCUGGCUGGCAGGAAGAAAAGGGUAAAAAAAAAACCUGUUAAUCAAGACUUGUUGCACUAAAUGUGGAAUGUAGUUCAAAACAGGAAGUAAUAAUCUCAAGUGCUACUUUUUCAUGAUUGUAAAUGAGCAAAAGAACAUUUAAAAUAAAUAAAUAAAUAAUCCAAAUGAUGUUGAAAACAAAUGUCUAUCCAGAAGCAUCCAAAAUGGCUGACUGAAUCCUCAGCAGGAUAAAGCAUUCCACACAUGAACUUAAAAUGAACUGAAGCAGACUGCUUAGUCACACUGAUUAAAAUGGCUGUCCUUAAGCAAACAAAGCCAGUGUGCUGAAGCUCUCUGACCUCUCACCUGUGCAUAGUAAUUAACACUCCAUUUUCCUCUUCCUACCCUCAUGAAGGAACAAAUACACACAUACACACAUACACACACACACACACACACACACACACACACACACACACAAGUUGCUACACGGCUCUUGCAUUUUCUUUGCACUCAGCAUCUAGUUUGAUCUCAAUCUAAACCGUCAUUGGGUUUUUAUCACCUUCCACUGAGAGCUGGUAUUGCCUGGCUGUGUUCAACUGUGGGGAAGCAGAAUUCUGAUAAAUAAAAAAAAAACCUUCCUAGGUUAUAAAACUCUGACAAAUGACUCGUUCAGAUGAAAGAAUGAAACCGAGUCAUAUUCCUCCUCCCACCAAUCAAAAGCCUCCACCUCACUAUGCAGCCAUUGUGCUGCCUGGCCGACAUUUUCUCUCUGCUCCAGACCAUCUCUCCAAAAUGCAGUUCCCCCUGAAUAACCGAAAAUAUCUGCAAUAUGCUGCCUAGUUCUUGAACAACUCAGAAAUGACUACAAAAAUAACUACAAUCGGGUUUAAAUAAUCACUAAAGCAUCCAGAGUCCAAUUUCCAUUAAUGAUUUCUUACUAUGGUCUUGAAAGUGCGGAAAACCCCCUCCAAAAAUACCAAACAAACAAAUUCUUGUUUUGUUUCUUCUAAAAUAUGCCAAAGAGACAUGUAAGGGCAAGCCUAACCGUCAGCCAUUAAAGUCCCGACAGAAAAGCUGAAGCAAAAGCAAAGCUUGGAUGCUCACGAUCAACAUCUAACAAAUCUAAAAGCAUCUAAAAUCUAAAACGAUUAUUUUUGGCUUGAUAAUAUGCUUGAAAUAAGAUUAAAAAAAAAAAAAGAUAAGGAAUUUUAAUUCAUCCUCAUUUAACACAGCAACCCAUUUCCAAAGGCUCUCAUGUAAAUAACAGAACCUAUUAUAUAAUGGUUAAUGAUUCCAAGAGGCAAUUUCAGAUACGUUCCUGUGUUUUACAGACAUCUCAGAGUUUUCUUCUAAAGGCAUGCUAUCAGACAGAAGAAAGCAGCUAAAGCCCUCGUUUUAUCCCCAUUGACAAGUCUGGCGGUUUGCCUCUACCUGCCCAAACUGGUCUAUCCAGUCAAGGAAUGAGUGUUUGUGUCUAUUGUGUUCUCAUUUUCUUUCUAUUUAAAUAGACUGGAAUCCGAUACAGAUUAUGAUAUGACCCUAUUCAACCUAAAAAGUCCUCCCUUAACAAGCUAACAACAAUUCUUCUGUUGACUCCUCGUCUAAAAAUCAACCUUUUAAUGCGCUCAACUUCUAUAGCAUGAAAGUUAUUAAGUCUACUGCAAAGCAUAGAGCGAGAACUAAGGAUAGCACCAGGAACAAGGAAAGUACUUAUUUGAAUUUAAAAAAAAAGUUACCCGUUUCUUCCUUAGAGUGGUCCGGGAACUCGAAACCAGAUACCAUUUUAAGUCAGAAGUGCUGCCUCAGAGACUUGUCUUCCUCUUCCCUCUUCGCGUCGUUCGACGCCCUGUUCGCUGCAGAAUGCCUUGCUGUCAGGUGGAAGGAGACCAUCUUGAUUUGGGGACUGGCUGCAUCCCAUCUAGAAGGUCGAAGCAUAACUAGAGCAAGGUAAACAUCAACGGUGAAGCCUUU
ensembl:lncRNA